UUGAAUAAUCACCAGACACUUCAAUGUAUUAAGGUGUGUACUUCAAUUUCUAGUUUUCCACACACCUAUUUAUUUACGUUUCUUCUAUGGUUUAUUUACGUUUCUUCAAGCAUAGUAACGAUCAUUGCUCAUUAUCGUUUUCCACCCACCUAUUUAUUUACGUCUAUUUUAUGGUUUAUUCAAUCCAAAAAUCAGAAAUAAAUAAGGUUGUGCAUAAAGAAAAAAUGAGUAUGCGGAAAUCACUUCCCCAAAAUUAAGUAGCUUCAACCUUUUUCCAGCGCAUUGAACUUCAUACAAGUAGGUCUAGUUAGUGUGCGACCAAGUUCACAUUGAUUAAAAGAGAAAAGAGCAAGCCUUUGUGCUUUGGUUUUUGGUUUUUUGUUUGGGGGCAUAUAAAUAAAUAAGGUUAAUAUUUGUAUUCAAUGAUUCAAUGAUUGAAAUACAACUCAUUCAAGCAAUAAUUCAAUGAUCGCUGAUGAUUGAAAUACAACUCAAUCGAGCAAUAAUUCAAUGAUUGCUAUUACAAUUAAGCUGUAAGAUUUAUGGUUUACGGUCACUUGUCACUCCAUGACACAUAAAAGAACUACUUUGGAAAUGGUAAUACCAUAGGAUAUGGAUUGAGACUUGUAAUUAUAGCUGAAAUCAGAUAUUUUAACUUUAAUGCAUCUGAAUAUAGAUCAAGGUUGAUCAAUUCGAUAUUAAUCAAAUCUGACUUUAGAUGAACAAUU
rnacentral:lncRNA from 1 species